GGCCGUCUAGCUCAGUUGGUUAGAGCGUCGUGCUAAUAUAAACCAGUCCAGUUUGUUAACGCGAAGGUCUUGGGUUCGACCCCCACGAUGGCCA